AACAGAAGAAGGUAGAAAAUAUUGAGAAAAAGUGUCAGUUAUAACUAUUGAUGUAUAAGUAUGUUUAGGGGUGGACAAACGGUAACCACCCGGCGGAACCCGACCGUUCCGAUCCACACUUUGAGACACGGUUCAGAUUUGGUCAGUUUGCGGGUACAACGGAAGGAGGAAAAGGGUUGACGCGGGCAUACACGGUUGGAUUCGGAGUUUGGUUUUGGUCCCGUCGGAAACCGAAUCCGACCGAAGAUAACAGUAGAGAAGAUUAGGCCCAACACAUUCUUAGAAUCCCCAGCCCAAUCUGGAAUUUUAUAAGUUGAUGCUUCCAAUUUUGCAAACCCUAAUCCAUUCCUUAGCCCAAUAUCAAAUUCUAUCUAUUCUUCAAUUGUUGUGAACCCUAAUCCAUCUCCCAGCGGCCGUCGAUUCUUGCUUUUGUUAGGUCUUGAUUCAAGGAAGCAUCAGAGUGGGUUAAAAUAAAAAGUUGUUUUCUAAUAUGCCCAAUCUUGUAGCAGCCUGAAGUAAAGAUUUUGUGAAAAUCUAAGCUGGAAGUCUUGUUGCAGCUUGAUUGAAGGAUGACAAAGAAGUUGCUGAAAAUCCAAGGUCUCAUCACUUUAUGCCCAAUCUAAGGUAAAGAUUUUCUUAUAUGCCUAAUUUUCUGUGUCAUUGUUGUUUUCUCAUAUGCCUGAUCUUGUUGCAGUUGGAAG